rnacentral:rRNA from 1 species
CAGUAGCCGCGGUAAUACGUAGGGUGCGAGCGUUAAUCGGAAUUACUGGGCGUAAAGCGUGCGCAGGCGGUUCGUUAAGACAGAUGUGAAAUCCCCGGGCUUAACCUGGGAACUGCAUUUGUGACUGGCGAGCUAGAGUAUGGCAGAGGGUGGUAGAAUUCCACGUGUAGCAGUGAAAUGCGUAGAGAUGUGGAGGAAUACCGAUGGCGAAGGCAGCCCCCUGGGCCAAUACUGACGCUCAUGCACGAAAGCGUGGGGAGCAAACAGGAUUAGAUACCCCCGUAGUCCCUGUCUCUUAUAC